rnacentral:rRNA from 1 species
CCUACGGGUGGCUGCAGUCGAGAAUCAUUCACAAUGGGGGAAACCCUGAUGGUGCGACGCCGCGUGGGGGAAUGAAGGUCUUCGGAUUGUAAACCCCUUUCAUGUGGGAGCAAAUUAAAAAGAUAGUACCACAAGAGGAAGAGACGGGUAACUCUGUGCCAGCAGCCGCGGUAAUACAGAGGUCCCAAGCGUUGUUCGGAAUCACUGGGCGGAAAGGGUGCGUAGGCGGUUUCGUAAGUCGGGUGUGAAAGGCGCGGGCUCAACCCGCGGACGGCAACGGAUACUGCGGGACUAGAGUAAUGGAGAGGGAAGCGGAAUUCUCGGUGUAGCAGUGAAAUGCGUAGAUAUCGAGAGGAACACUCGUGGCGAAGGCGGGUUCCUGGACAUUAACUGACGCUGAGGCACGAAGGCCAGGGGAGCGAAAGGGAUUAGAUACCCCUGUAGUC